rnacentral:rRNA from 1 species
UACGGGGGGGGGCAAGCGUUGUUCGGAAUUACUGGGCGUAAAGGGCGCGUAGGCGGUUCGCUAAGUUGGAUGUGAAAACUCUGGGCUCAACCCAGAGCCUGCAUCCAAAACUGGCGGGCUAGAGUUCUGGAGGGGGUAGCGGAAUUCCUGGUGUAGCGGUGAAAUGCGUAGAUAUCAGGAGGAACACCAACGGCGAAGGCAGCUCGCUAGGACGGUACUGACGCUAAGGCGCGAAAGCGUGGGGAGCGAACAGG